CKGUAAGCGUAUACCAAAGUYGUUGCAGUUAAAACGCUCGUAGUCGGAUUUUGGUGCGCGCCGGGCUGUGCGCGUAGUGCGUGCGGCGCGGGGCGUGCUUUUGUGGAGGGCGGCCGCUCGUGGCUUUGCUGUUGCGGGUGUGUCGGCGCCACCGUUUACUGUGAAAAAAUUAGAGUGUUCAAAGCAGGCGUUUGCCGUGAAUACAUUAGCAUGGAAUAAUAGAAUAGGACUCGUACCUAUUUUGUUGGUUUGUGAGGGCCGAGUAAUGAUUAAGAGGGACGGUUGGGGGCAUUUGUAUUCCGGCGUCAGAGGUGAAAUUCUUGGAUUGCCGGAAGACAAACCGCUGCGAAAGCGUCUGCCAAGGACGUUUUCAUUGAUCAAGAACGAAAGUAAGGGGAUCGAAGACGAUCAGAUACCGUCGUAGUCUUUACUAUAAACGAUGAGAACUGGGGAUCGGGCGGGCAUUAUGAUGACCCGUCCGGGACCCUCCGGGAAACCAAAGUGUUUGCUUUCUGGGGGGAGUAUGGUCGCAAGGCUGAAACUUAAAGGAAUUGACGGAAGGGCAUCACCGGGUGUGGAGCCUGCGGCUUAAUUUGACUCAACACGGGAAAACUUACCAGGUCCGGACAUAGUGAGGAUUGACAGAUUGAGAGCUCUUUCUUGAUUCUAUGGUUGGUG
rnacentral:rRNA from 1 species